rnacentral:tRNA from 1 species
AUAGUAUCUGGAUUAGAAGAAGGUAUCACGGUUAAAGGCGUUAGGAAUUGUUAUACUACAGCAUUGGUAGCAACUCACCGUCACAACGGGGGUGUAGCUCAUAUGGUAGAGCGCUCGCUUCGCAUGCGAGAGGCACGGUGUUCGAUUCCCCGCACCUCCAAUCUUUUGAUCUUUUUUUGAUUUCCAUUUU